AUUGAACGCUGGCGGCAGGCCUAACACAUGCAAGUCGAACGAGUGGCGGACGGGAGAGUAAUGUCUGGGAAACUGCCUGAUGGAGGGGGAUAACUACAGGAAACGGUAGCUAAUACCGCAUACCAUCAGAUGUGCCCAGAUGGGAUUAGCGUGUUGGUGGGGUAACGGCUCAACAAGGCGACGAACCCUAGCUGGUCUGAGCGGAUGACAAGCCACACUGUAACUGAGCGCCGGUCCAGCCUCCGACGAGAGGCAGCAGUGGGGAAUAUUGCACAAUGGGCGCAAGCCGGAUUCAGCCCUUCAGCGUGUAUGAAGAAGGCCUUCGGGUUGUAAAGUACUUUCAGCGGGGGGGCGUUACCCGCAGAAGAAGCACCGGCUAACUCCGUGCCAGCAGCCGCGGUAAUAC
rnacentral:rRNA from 1 species